CAAGGCUUGACAUACACCGGAAACGGCCAGAGAUGGUCGCCCCGCAAGGUCGGUGUACAGGUGGUGCAUGGUUGUCGUCAGCUCGUGUCGUGAGAUGUUGGGUUAAGUCCCGCAACGAGCGCAACCCUCGUCCCAUGUUGCCAGCGGGUUAUGCCGGGGACUCAUGGGAGACUGCCGGGGUCAACUCGGAGGAAGGUGGGGAUGACGUCAAAUCAUCAUGCCCCUUAUGUCUUGGGCUUCACGCAUGCUACAAUGGCCGGUACAAAGGGCUGCGAUACCGUAAGGUGGAGCGAAUCCCAAAAAGCCGGUCUCAGUUCGGAUUGGGGUCUGCAACUCGACCCCAUGAAGUCGGAGUCGCUAGUAAUCGCAGAUCAGCAACGCUGCGGUGAAUACGUUCCCGGGCCUUGUACACACCGCCCGUCAAGUCACGAAAGUCGGUAACACCCGAAGCCCAUGGCCCAACCCUUGUGGGGGGAGUGGUCGAAGGUGGGACUGGCGAUUGGGACU
rnacentral:rRNA from 1 species